rnacentral:rRNA from 1 species
UACAGAGGGUGCGAGCGUUAAUCGGAAUUACUGGGCGUAAAGCGUGCGUAGACGGCUAUCUAAGUCGGGUGUGAAAGCCCCGGGCUCAACCUGGGAAUUGCAUUCGAGACUGAAUAGCUAGGGUACGGUAGAGGGAAGCGGAAUUUCCGGUGUAGCGGUGAAAUGCGUAGAUAUCGGAAGGAACAUCAGUGGCGAAAGCGGCUUCCUGGACCAGUACCGACGUCAGGCACGAAAGCGUGGGGAGCAAACAGG